rnacentral:rRNA from 1 species
GACGAACGCUGGCGGCGUGCCUAAUACAUGCAAGUUGAGCGCUGAAGGUUGGUACUUGUACCCACUGGAUGAGCAGCGAACGGGUGAGUAACGCGUGGGGAAUCUGCCUUUGAGCGGGGGACAACAUUUGGAAACGAAUGCUAAUACCGCAUAAAAACUUUAAACACAAGUUUUAAGUUUGAAAGAUGCAAUUGCAUCACUCAAAGAUGAUCCCGCGUUGUAUUAGCUAGUUGGUGAGGUAAAGGCUCACCAAGGCGAUGGUACAUAGCCGACCUGAGAGGGUGAUCGGCCACAUUGGGACUGAGACACGGCCCAAACUCCUACGGGAGGCAGCAGUAGGGAAUCUUCGGCAAUGGACGAAAGUCUGACCGAGCAACGCCGCGUGAGUGAAGAAGGUUUUCGGAUCGUAAAACUCUGUUGGUAGAGAAGAACGUUGGUGAGAGUGGAAAGCUCAUCAAGUGACGGUAACUACCCAGAAAGGGACGGCUAACUACGUG